ensembl:lncRNA LINC01968 long intergenic non-protein coding RNA 1968
ACAAUGUCACAGUGGUUAUACAAGUGAGUCCUGUUCAGCGUGGGAGGAAAUAACACAAGAGGCAAAGAUCACUCGGGACCACCUUGUAUAUUGGCUACCACAGAACCCAACACAAGCAGUAAGUUAAAAUCAUGAAGCUCCUGACGUCAGAGGACAUGGCUCUGCCAUUUGUUAGGUAGGGAUCCUGUUAAAGGCUCAGCUUCCUCAUCUGGAAAUGGAAAUAUAGGCCUUGCCUGGUUUGCUGUAAUGGGUCGUGAUGAGGACCAAACUACAAAGAGUGGUACAGAUGUUAAUUACAAUGAUUUUUCCUAUGCCACCCAUGGAAACAAAAAUAGCAAGAUAGAGAAGGCUAAAUCCCAGUUUUUUUUGACUGCUAUUCAGCAAAGCCUAGGAGACUUUCAUGACACCUGGAGAGGCGGCCGUAGUGUAUGUGUAAGAGUACCGGUUCCAGAGUGGGGCUCCCCGAGCUCAGCCCCACCACUUACCAACAGCGGACCUUGGGCCAGAUGCUGAAGCCCUUUGUGCCUUGGUUUCCUGACCUAUUACUGUGGAAAUGAUGACAGUACCCUCCUCAUGGCAUCGUGAGAAUUAAAUUAGCUAAUUCAGGUGAAGCAUUUAGAAGAGGACCUCCUGACACUUAAUAACUGCUUGAUAUAAAUAAUAGCUUCUGCUACAGAGUGGCCAUGAAGUCUGGACAUGUAGAUAUUAUAUUAUCAUGCAUCAUAAGGUUGUGAGUGAGGAAUGGAUGCCAUUGUUAGUGGCUUCCGUUGUGCUCAGUGGAAACACGCAUCUACAGGUAGAAUGUAGAGGAACAGCCCAAUUCAGCUGUCUUGUGGAUUUCAGGCUGUGGUCUCUCUGCCUCUCUCUGGAACACAGGAGGAACUUUGCUACUGCCUUGACCAACAGAAUAUGGGGGAAGCGACAUUGUGUGAAUUACAAGGAAAUCAACAUUCAAGGGGAGACCCAAUGAAGAAGAUAGUGCCAGAACUUAAUGGAGGCAGCCCAAGAGGAACGUGUACCUGGGGAAGUCAAGAGCUAUUUCUUGGACAUUUGUGCCUCUAUUCCAAACUCUUCUCUCAGAGUAGAUGACAACUCAGGAAGGAGCCAGAGAUCUUCCUCAGUUGACUUGUUCAGAAAUAUGAUUUGGGAUUCAGUCUGGCCCGAAGCCAUGCUUCCAGCCUCAUCUCCACUGUGCACUUUCCAUGGCGUUCUGUCUUGGUCCACUUGGCUUGUGUAGCUGCCUGGCCUGGGUUGUCCUCCCCACCCUUGUCUGCUUGGUGGCACUUGGCCCUGUUCUAAUUGCUUCUGCUCGGGCAGCUUCUCUCCUCCCUCCUCUGUGCUCUGAGCACACUGGACAGAUUCCUGUUAGAGCUGUCACUGUCUUCCUGCUGUCUGCCCACUGACCUUGGAGCUCCAGGAGGACAGGAGCCUUAUCUUACCCCAUGACAUGGCCUAUGCCCAGCCUGGUGCCAACGUGGUCUGGAGGUAUCUGUAGGCUGAAUGAAAUUCUUCCCUCUGGGAUGCCCUUUAAAGUUGUUUUCUUUCUGGAACCUGGGGCAGUGACUGGAAUGGUUGGAAUGUGGCCUUGGUUUGCCAUUGGGUGUUUUGUUCCUCCGAGCAUUGGCUGGACUCUCUGGUGAUUUCUGGUCUUGAAGGACUUCCUGUUUUAAAUGUCUGUGGGGUUGUGGUUCCCGAGCUGCUGCACUGUCUCCCAUAACCUUUCUCUCUAUCCUGGCCUGGUCUCUCUUCCACACCAGAACUUUCCUCUAGAUCAAUGGUCCAGGACCAUCAGAACCAGUGAACCACACUCCUGACCAUUCUCCAAAUAGUCAUUUGGCCAAAUACGAGGUACGUGGCAGCUCUUUCUUUUCUGGACCCCACUUCACCUCUGAGCAGCUUCCUUCUCCCAGGAGCUGAAGCUCCCCCACGAUGUCUCAAUGCCAGGCAGAUGCGCUUGACCUUCUGCCUCUUGGGGCCCUCACCAAGCUAAGGGAUUUUAAAUCAUUCAACUAAUGUAUUACAGUGGGAAAGACACCCCACUAAGGGGCUCCACUAAAUAUCCUUUCCAGUUGAUAAGAUCAUUUUUUUUUAAUCCAGCUACAAACUCUUGAGUUUUAAACCCCAUGAGUUAUUUACCAUACGCUUGUAUCCCCUACAGUGAUUUUUAAAGUGCCAUGGCUGUUUCUCCACUGGCUGUGGAGUGAGCUGAUGUUACUGCAGGUUGAGGUUGAGCCACUUUGCUUCACCGACAGUUCCAGGAGUCCUUUUGGGCACUGACUGUGGGUCCAGUCCUGAGCUGAGUGCACAGAGGACGGGGGAGGUUGAGGGAGUCAACACAACUCCGAGGUGUCCUUGUUCUCCAGGGGCUCUAGGUUCUGACCUGCACCCAGCCACAAGCUGACUUGAGUCAAAAAGUCACAAAGUGUGACUUGGGGUUUCCUAUCCCAGGAUCUUGGCCAGAGCUUCAUUUGGAAGCCCCAGAGACCUGGACCAGACUUGCAGGUAGACAUUCACCAAUGCGUGAUUUGAGGGCUGCUCAAAGGGACCUCCCCACUUCCCACAUGGAGCACUCUCGGGAUUAGCCAUCACCGGAAACUCCUUUCCCGCAGGACAGAGCCCAGACAACUCAUUCUGUCUUCAAAAGCCACCACUGUCUGGCACCAACCCACUUUUCCAAACUCCACCUCCUGCGACUUCAGCCACAUGGAACAAGCAUGGACUGAUGUUCUCUAUACCUUUCCAACUCCAGCUCUUGGCUUCUGCUCUUUUCUCUGCCAAUGAGGCUGUGCUGUCUAUUACUGAGUAACAAUAUUACCAUAUACUUAGCACCUUUAAACAAUACACACUUAUUAUCUCAUAAUUUCUGUGGGUCAAGAAUUCAGGUGUGGCUUAGCUGGGUCCUCUGAAAGGCUGCAAUGAAGAUGUCAGCCAGGACUGUGGUCUCAAUCCAAGCUUCAGCUAGAGAAGGAUCUGCUUCCCAACUUCGCAUAUGUUGGUAAGAUUCAGGCUCUUGCAAGUGAUCGGACCAAGGCCCCCAGUUUGUUGUUGGCUGUUGGCUGGAGGCUGCCCUCAGUUUCUAGCUGGUUGUGGGCAGUUGCCUUGAGUUCCUUGCCACAUGAGCCUCCUCAACAUGAAUGCUUGCUUCUUCAAAGCUGGUGAGAGAGAGGCUCUUCUAAUAAGAUGGACUGUACAAGCUCACAUUAUGUAAUCACAGAAGCAACAGCUGUCACCUUUGUUAUACUUUAUUGCUUAGCAUCAAGUCACAAUUCCUGCUGAUACUCAAAAGGUAGGGAUUACAUCAGGGCGUGGGCACCAAGAGGUGGGGAUCAUGGGGCCACUUUAGCCUCUGUCUCCACCCAUCUCCUUCUCCCAACCUCCCUGUCCACUCUAGAAACAGCAACCUAGUAAAAUUCAUGAAAGCUUCCCUUAGUCACCUCAACCACAGGGCUUUGCUUACAUCGUUCUUUAGUACUUCAUUCAUUUAUUCAACAAAAUACAUAUUGAGCAUCUGCCGUAUGCCUGGAGCUAGAGGUAGUAUAGUAUAAUGGUUAAGGCUUCAAGUUCUGGAAUCAGAGUCUCUUGUUCCAAAUCCUGGGUCUCCACUUCAUGCUGGGUCUCAAUAAACUCAUCUCUAAAUAACACUAGGA